rnacentral:rRNA from 1 species
UGUAAAUGUAAAUAUUUAACCAGGGUAGUAAUAGUUAUGUUCUUGAAACCCAAAGAAUUUGGCGGUAUUUUAGUCCUUUCAGAGGAAUCUGUCCCGUGAUCGACAACCCACGAGAUAGUUUACUUAUUUUUGUUUUCAGUUUGUAUACCUCCGUCAUAAGAAGAUCUUUUUAGAGAUUUAAUUUUCUUAAUAUAUUAAAUAUAAGAUGUCAGGUCAAGGUGCAAUUUAUAAAUAAGAGGAGAUGGAUUACAAUAAAUUUAUUUAAAUGGAUUAAAUUAUUUAAAUUUUUAUGAAGGUGGAUUUGAUAGUAAUUAUAAUUAUUUGUUAUUAUGAUUUUGGCUCUAAAAUAUGC